rnacentral:rRNA from 1 species
AUUGAACGCUGGCGGCAGGCCUAACACAUGCAAGUCGAACGAGUGGCGGACAGGUGAGUAAUGUCUGGGAAACUGCCCGAUGGAGGGGGAUAACUACUGGAAACGGUAGCUAAUACCGCAUACCAUCGGAUGUGCCCAGAUGGGAUUAGCUAGUAGGUGGGGUAACGGCUCACCUCGGCGACGAUCCCUAGCUGGUCUGAGAGUAUGCACAGCCACCCUGGAACUGAGACACGGUCAAGCCUCCUACGGGAGGCAGCAGUGGGGAAUAUUGCACAAUGGGCGAAAGCCUGAUGCAGCCAUGCCGCGUGUAUGAAGAAGGCCUUCGGGUUGUAAAGUACUUUCAGCGAGGAGGCGUUACUCGCAGAAGAAGCACCGGCUAACUCCGUGCCAGCAGCCGCGGUAAUAC